AGAGUUUGAUCCUGGCUCAGGAUGAACGCUGGCGGCGUGCUUAACACAUGCAAGUCGAACGAAGCGCUUAUUCACGAUCCCUUCGGGGUGACGAAUUUGUGACUGAGUGGCGGACGGGUGAGUAACGCGUGGGUAACCUGCCUCAUACAGGGGGAUAACAGUUGGAAACGACUGCUAAUACCGCAUAAGCGCACAGUACCGCAUGGUACAGUGUGAAAAACUCCGGUGGUAUGAGAUGGACCCGCGUUGGAUUAGCUAGUUGGUGAGGUAACGGCUCACCAAGGCGACGAUCCAUAGCCGACCUGAGAGGGUGACCGGCCACAUUGGGACUGAGACACGGCCCAAACUCCUACGGGAGGCAGCAGUGGGGAAUAUUGCACAAUGGGCGAAAGCCUGAUGCAGCGACGCCGCGUGAGUGAUGAAGUAUUUCGGUAUGUAAAGCUCUAUCAGCAGGGAAGAAAAAUGACGGUACCUGACUAAGAAGCACCGGCUAAAUACGUGCCAGCAGCCGCGGUAAUACGUAUGGUGCAAGCGUUAUCCGGAUUUACUGGGUGUAAAGGGAGCGCAGGCGGUACGGCAAGUCUGAUGUGAAAGCCCGGGGCUCAACCUCGGUACUGCAUUGGAAACUGUCGAACUAGAGUGUCGGAGGGGUAAGUGGAAUUCCUAGUGUAGCGGUGAAAUGCGUAGAUAUUAGGAGGAACACCAGUGGCGAAGGCGGCUUACUGGACGAUAACUGACGCUGAGGCUCGAAAGCGUGGGGAGCAAACAGGAUUAGAUACCCUGGUAGUCCACGCCGUAAACGAUGAAUAUCUAGGUGUCGGGAGGCAUUGCCUUUCGGUGCCGUCGCAAACGCAGUAAGUAUUCCACCUGGGGAGUAC
rnacentral:rRNA from 1 species